rnacentral:misc_RNA from 1 species
GCAAACUUGGUCAUUUAGAGGAAGUAAAAGUCGUAACAAGGUUUCCGUAGGUGAACCUGCGGAAGGAUCAUUAAAAAGAUCGACCCCAAAAAUAUGGACGAUCAAAUCCAUAUCCACCUUGUGUGCACCUAUUGACCGUUCGCUUUGGCAGGAGUUGUCUUCGAUCUGACCCGACCCGAUCCCCUUCUUUUAUUUAAAAAGAUGUGGGGGGUGGUGGGGGAGGGAUCGAGGCGGCGAGGUUAAUCAGAUCUCGGCCUGCCAGAGUUUUUCCAGAUCCACACAUUUUUUUUGAACCCUUUUGACUGAACCCUCGUCUCGAUUCUUUGUAAUCGGUCGAAUCUAAUACAACUUUCAACAACGGAUCUCUUGGCUCUCGCAUCGAUGAAGAACGCAGC